rfam:Photorhabdus luminescens subsp. laumondii TTO1 complete genome
AAAUGUUGUCAAGCUAUGAAGAACGUGAUAACUCUUAAAUAUAGAUUAAACAAACGAAUUAAAUGACCAAGAUUAUGAACACAUUUGUCCUAGUGAUUAGCCUAAUUAUUGUCAGCGUGGUGGUGAUUAUUAUCCCACCGAGCGGGGCUGCACUUGGACGAAGAAAGGCUUAGAAGAACAGCCAAAUCUCUCGAAGACCCCCGCACCGAAAGGCGCGGGGGUUUUUUUUCGACAAGCAAAAUCCGGUAGAGACGGAAACAUACAACAGAACAAAAUCUUGUCUCACAGGGU